GCGGAAGUAGUUCAGUGGUAGAACGUCUCCUUGCCAAGGAGAAGGUCGAGGGUUCGAAUCCCUUCUUCCGCUCCA
rnacentral:tRNA from 1 species